rnacentral:tRNA from 1 species
AAGAAAAAAGCUAAUAGCAAUUCACUUACACUGAAAAGUAUCAAACUUUCCUUU